CCCGCUUCCAGGAAAAGCCUCUAAGCUUCAGAUCACAUUGGACCGUACCGUAAACCGACACUGGUGGGUGAGCAGAUAAUCUGCCAAGGCGCUUGAGAGAACUCGGGUUAAGGAACUCUGCAAAUUGAUACCGUAACUUCGGAAGAAGGUAUGCCUUCGACGGUGUAGGGAUUUACUCCCGAAGCUGUUGAAGGUCGCAGGUAAUCGGUGGCUGCGACUGUUUAUCAAAAACACAGGACUCUGCGAACACGCAAGUGGAAGUAUAGGGUCUGACGCCUGCCCGGUGCCGGAAGGUUAAUUGAUGGGGUUAGCCGCAAGGCGAAGCUCUUGAUCGAAGCCCCGGUAAACGGCGGCCGUAACAAUAACGGUCCGAAGGUAGCGAAAUUCCUUGUCGGGUAAGUUCCGACCUGCACGAAUGGCGUAACGCUGGCCACACUGUCUCGACCCGAGACUCAGUGAAGUUGAAAUCGCUGUGAAGAUGCGGCGUUCCCGCGGCAAGACGGAAAGACCCCGUGAACCUUCACUACAGCUUUACACUGAACUUUGAACCUUUCUGUGUAGGAUAGGUGGGAGGCUAUGAAACUUGGGCGCUAGCUCGAGUGGAGCCAACCUUGAAAUACCACCCUGGGAUGUUUGAAGUUCUAACCUUGGUCCGUAAUCCGGAUUGGGGACAGUGUAUGGUGGGUAGUUUGACUGGGGCGGUCUCCUCCCAAAGAGUAACGGAGGAGUGCAAUGGUACGCUCAGCGCGGUCGGUCAUCGCGCUCUAGAGUGCAAAGGCAUAAGCGUGCUUAACUGUGAGACAGACACGUCGAACAGGUACGAAAGUAGGUCUUAGUGAUCCGGUGGUUCUGUAUGGAAGGGCCAUCGCUCAACGGAUAAAAGGUACUCCGGGGAUAACAGGCUUAUUCCUCCCAAGAGUCCACAUCGACGGAGGAGUUUGGCACCUCGAUGUCGGCUCAUCACAUCCUGGGGCUGUAGCAGGUCCCAAGGGUAUGGCUGUUCGCCAUUUAAAGUGGUACGCGAGCUGGGUUCAGAACGUCGUGAGACAGUUCGGUCCCUAUCUGCCGUGGGCGUUGGAAACUUGAGGGUGAGCUGUCCUUAGUACGAGAGGACCGGGAUGGACGUAUCUCUGGUGUUCCGGUUGUCACGCCAGUGGCACUGCCGGGUAGCUAUAUACGGACGGGAUAAGCGCUGAAAGCAUCUAAGCGCGAAGCCCCCCCCAAGAUUAGGUUUCCCUGGGAACUCGAUUCCCCUAAAGGGCCGUCGGAGACUACGACGUUGAUAGGCUGGGUGUGUAAGUGCAGCAAUGCAUUGAGCUAACCAGUACUAAUUGCCCGUGAGGCUUGACCA
rnacentral:rRNA from 1 species